GGCGUCUUGGCUUUAACAUCCUGGAGCAGUGGAAGAACAUCAUCAUCAUCAUCUGUUGGAACUCUGAAGACAUGUUCCUUUACUCCUUUCUACUUUUCUAUCACUUUAUAGCCCUGGCCUCCAUGGUCACUAUAAAACCAGAAUCAACUGAAGAACAUGUUGAAGAGGGGAGAAACAUCAACCUGACCUGUUCAUAUGAAGGUGUUAUCAACAACAUCCAGUGGUACAGACAAAACCAGGGAACCAGACCAGAGUUCCUGCUCUCCAUCAGAGAGUACGGAUCCAUUCAUCCACUUGACUCUGGUUUCUUAGCUGACAUUAACAAAGAGGAGAAACGUGUAGAUCUGGAGAUCUCCUCUGCUGCACUGACUGACUCUGCUGUGUACUACUGUGCUGUGAGGCCCACAGUGACAGGAAACACCAACACUCUGUACAAAAACCUUUGGAGCAAACACAACACAAUACUCCACAACAUCCACUAGAGGGCGUCUCUCUCUGUUCAAGUGUUCCUGGUAUGUGAUGAUCCAGUCUAGAGUCUGAAUCUCCUCCUCCUGACUUCAGAGGAGCUUCAUGACAGAGAACACUUUGGUUCCAGCUGAGACCGUCAGACUGAACACAACUCACUAAACUGUAUUCAUACUGAUCCUUCAGUUACAGUAUCUUCCCUAUGA